rnacentral:rRNA from 1 species
UACGGAGGGAGCUAGCGUUAUUCGGAAUUACUGGGCGUAAAGCGCACGUAGGCGGCUUUGUAAGUAAGAGGUGAAAGCCCAGAGCUCAACUCUGGAAUUGCCUUUUAGACUGCAUCGCUUGAAUCAUGGAGAGGUCAGUGGAAUUCCGAGUGUAGAGGUGAAAUUCGUAGAUAUCGGAAGAACACCAGUGGCGAAGGCGGCUGACUGGACAUGUAUUGACGCUGAGGUGCGAAAGCGUGGGGAGCAAACAGGAUAGAA